UACGGAGGAUCCGAGCGUUAUCCGGAUUUAUUGGGUUUAAAGGGUGCGUAGGCGGUUUGGUAAGUUAGAGGUGAAAUGUCGGGGCUCAACCCCGAAACUGCCUCUAAUACUGUUGGACUAGAGAAUAGUUGCGGUAGGCGGAAUGUAUGGUGUAGCGGUGAAAUGCUUAGAGAUCAUACAGAACACCGAUUGCGAAGGCAGCUUACCAAACUAUAUCUGACGUUGAGGCACGAAAGCGUGGGUAGCAAACAGG
rnacentral:rRNA from 1 species